GAAGACCGCGGCCCCGUCCCCGCGCCUCCACCGCCUUCUUCCAGGAGGAGGGGCCGUGCGGCGCCUGCCCGGGGGCCCUCAGGCCGCAGGCGGGCGCGAGCUUCAGGGAACUUAGGGGGCUCCCGCCUCCCCGGCCACGCGAGCGGGAACAGUCUCCUCCACUCGGAGCGCCACUCAUCAUGCCUUACCUGGAUGAUGCAGAAGUCCCUGGAAACAGAAGAUUAUAGAUCCAGACUCCUGUGCCUGACCACUGCCCAUGGCCAACUCUCUGCUGAUGACUGGACUUGACUACACAAGUUGUUGGCCAUCUUAAAACCACUCAAAGUUGACGGUCUCCUCUCCUGCCUCCUGCGGCUUCCAUUACCAUGGCAGAGACUGUGGUGUCUGAGGUGGUGUAGCGUACUGAAGCAAGGCUGUCUUGAAGAAGAGGAGACAACUCACAAUUCUACCACCUUUGUUGACCUCUUCUUCCCCCCAACUUAUUGCUGUAGAGGCUACCUGAGCUCAUUGUCCCUGGAGAUGGACCAAAUAGAAGAAUAAGCAGUGCCUGUGUGGUGAGCUUCAAGAGGCAUCUGUUCUCUGGGGAGUGGGUGGGUGGUAAAGCAAAGACGGGAGAUGUGUAUAUUAGCUAUCCAUUACUGUAUAAUUAAUUAUACACAAAACUAAACUAUACACUAAACUAAAACUUCACAGCUUAAAACAGGAAAUAUGUAUUAUCUCACACAAUUUCUGAGAGUCAGGAAUCUGAAAAUGGCUUAGCUAGUUUGGUUCUGGCUCAGGGUGACCUAUGGAGUUGCAGCCAAGAUGUCAUCUGGGACUACUAUCAUUGGAAGGCUCAGCUGGGGCUGGAGGCUACACUUCCAAGAUGGCUCACUUAUAGGGCUAUUGGUGGGAGGCUUCAGUUCCUCUCCACAUGAAACUUUCCUCAUGCCAUGGAACUGGCUUCCCUCAGAGUGAAAGACCCAAGAGAGAGACUAAGACAGAAGCUGCAAUGUUUUUAUGACCUAGUCUUGGAAGUGACUUACUGUCAUUUCUACUGUAUUUUAUUCAUUAGAAGCAAGUCAUUAAGUCCAGCCCACAUUCAAAGUAAGAGGAUUUAAGCUGAACCUCUUGAAAAAAUGGUAUCAAAGUAUUUACGGACAUUUUAAAAACUACCACAAUACAUAUAGGUGAACUUCACAAGGUGUAGACAUGGGCUGAGACAGAAUAUUGGAUAAUAUCUCAUUCUGCAAACAGCAGCCUCAUCUGUAAUAAAAUCCCAGCAUUCAGAAAUUAUCACGAUCAAGUAGGAAAAGGGCUUGUUGGAAAAAACUUAUCAAAGAUGUUACUUCAUUUAUCCAUUUAUUCUGAGCCAUAGCAUAAUAGCGACAAAUUGUGUGUCCUGUGUAAUUUGGAUACCUCUGCUCAAUAAUAGCUGAACAGAUUUUAUCCUAUUUUUAGAAUAGUUAAUAUAUACACAUGGCACAAAAUUUAAAAGGUAUAAAAGUUUCUGGUUCAAAAAUAAGAUUCCCUCAUUUUCUUUUUUUCUGAUUCUUUGAAUGCAAUUCGAUUUACUGAUUUCUCAUGUAGCCUUAGAAAGUAUUCUAUGUACUUACAA
ensembl:lncRNA AHI1-DT AHI1 divergent transcript